rnacentral:rRNA from 1 species
UGCAAGUCGAACGUGAACGGGGCUUCGGCCCUUAGUAAAGUGGCGCACGGGUGAGUAACACGUGGAUAAUCUGCCCUUAUGAUCGGGAUAACAGUCGGAAACGGCUGCUAAUACCGGAUACGCUCAAAAUGAACUUUUUGAGGAAAGGUGACCUCUGCUUGCAAGUUACUGCAUGAGGAUGAGUCCGCGGCCCAUUAGCUAGUUGGUAGGGUAACGGCCUACCAAGGCAACGAUGGGUAGCCGAUUUGAGAGGAUGAUCGGCCACACUGGGACUGAAACACGGCCCAGACUCCUACGGGAGGCAGCAGUGGGGAAUAUUGCGCAAUGGGCGAAAGCCUGACGCAGCGACGCCGCGUGAGGGAUGAAGGUUUUCGGAUCGUAAACCUCUGUCAGAAGGGAAGAAACCGCACCGUGCUAAUCAGCGGUGCAUUGACGGUACCUUCAAAGGAAGCACCGGCUAACUCCGUGCCAGCAGCCGCGGUAAUACGGAGGGUGCAAGCGUUAAUCGGAAUUACUGGGCGUAAAGCGCACGUAGGCUGCUUUGUAAGUCAGGGGUGAAAUCCCACGGCUCAACCGUGGAACUGCCUUUGAUACUGCUUAGCUUGAAUCCGGGAGAGGGUGGCGGAAUUCCAGGUGUAGGAGUGAAAUCCGUAGAUAUCUGGAGGAACAUCAGUGGCGAAGGCGGCCACCUGGACCGGUAUUGACGCUGAGGUGCG